UCCUCAGAACUGGAGGUCUAGGUUGAC
rnacentral:piRNA from 1 species